UACGUAGGGGGCUAGCGUUGUCCGGAAUCAUUGGGCGUAAAGCGCGCGUAGGUGGCUUCGUAAGUCCGUUGUGAAAGUCAAAGGCUCAACCUUUGAAUGCCGAUGGAUACUGCGGAGCUAGAGUACGGAAGAGGCGAGUGGAAUUCCUGGUGUAGCGGUGGAAUGCGCAGAUAUCAGGAGGAACACCAAUGGCGAAGGCAGCUCGCUGGGACGUUACUGACGCUAAGGCGCGAAAGCGUGGGGAGCGAACAGG
rnacentral:rRNA from 1 species